rnacentral:rRNA from 1 species
CCUACGGGAGGCAGCAGUGAGGAAUAUUGGUCAAUGGGCGAGAGCCUGAACCAGCCAAGUAGCGUGAAGGAUGACUGCCCUACGGGUGGUAAACUUCUUUUAUAAAGGAAUAAAGUGAGGCACGUGUGCCAUUUUGUGUGUACUUUAUGAAUAAGGAUCGGCUAACUCCGUGCAAGCAGCCGCGGGAAUACGACGGAUCCGAUCUUUAUCCGGAUGUCUUGGGUUUAAGGGGAACGAAGAUGGGUUAUUAAGUAAGUUGUGAAAGGUUGCGGCUCAACCGUAAAAUUGCAAUUGUUACUGGCAGUCUUGAGUACAGUUGAGGUUAGCGGAAUUCGUGGUGUAGCGGUGAAAUGCUUAGAUAUCACGAAGAACUCCGAUUGCGAAGGCAGCUUACUAAACUGCCACUGACAUUGAUGCUCGAAAGUGUGGGUAUCAAACAGGAUUAGAUACCCCGGUAGUC